CCUACGGGCGGCAGCAGUGGGGAAUAUUGGACAAUGGGGGCAACCCUGAUCCAGCCAUGCCGCGUGUGUGAAGAAGGCCCUCGGGUUGUAAAGCACUUUCAGUGAGGAAGAACGCCUGGUGGUUAAUACCCAUCAGGAAAGACAUCACUCACAGAAGAAGCACCGGCUAACUCCGUGCCAGCAGCCGCGGUAAUACGGAGGGUGCGAGCGUUAAUCGGAAUUACUGGGCGUAAAGCGCGCGUAGGUGGCUUGAUAAGCCGGUUGUGAAAGCCCCGGGCUCAACCUGGGAACGGCAUCCGGUACUGUCAAGCUAGAGUGCAGGAGAGGAAGGUAGAAUUCCCGGUGUAGCGGUGAAAUGCGUAGAGAUCGGGAGGAAUACCAGUGGCGAAGGCGGCCUUCUGGACUGACACUGACACUGAGGUGCGAAAGCGUGGGUAGCAAACAGGAUUAGAUACCCGGGUAGUC
rnacentral:rRNA from 1 species